ACCUGCUCUAUUUUUGUAGAGGAUGUAAUUGCAAACUGAAUUUAAAGCACACUUGGCUUAUCAUUCUGCCAAAACCCAAACAGGCUUUCUUUCGCUAAAAAUAGCCAAAAUUGUUCUUCAUGCAGCAAACUCAAUCAAAAUAUGUUAAUAUAAAUACCAGAUUAGAAUUUGUACAUAUGUAAGAAUGUGUAAAAUGAGUCCAUGGAAAUGGAAAUUACAUCUUGUCAGUAAAAGGCAACACAAGAUUUCAGUCCUACCAUCAGCAACACUUUAUUCCAUAAGAGCAACCAGUGAAACUGGUGAAAUAUUUGCUUUCUAUGAUCAUCUGUAACCAGGUAGGUGUUCCCACAGCUGUCUACAGCUUCUGUCUCAUUUUAAUCAUUUGGUUGAUAUUUAAAGAGGAGAAAAGUAUCUCUUGAAAAGCAUCUAUAUUCUGAAUGUUUACCAAGAUACAAAAGCUUGUGCCUUAAAAACAACAACUAAAUCACACUUCAUAUAAUCCAGUUCGAAAAUGAAACGAAGUCCUCUAAGAUCUCUACUACAUUACACAACAGGAGUCUUCUGACUUUUAUAGGUAAAAGAAAUGCUCUAUUGCUGCUCGAUUCACAUUCUUUGAAGUCAGCUGGGCUAAUGAUAAAAAUAUUUGCCAAAAGCCAGUGCUGCUUCUAAUAAUGUAGCAAGGUGUGAUCUGAAUACAUAUUAUGGAUUUGGAGGAGAGCUUACUUCUGUGGGAAAGCUGUUAAUGACACAUUUGGGGUUUGGUCCUGAAAGCCCUAAGCACAACCACAGCAAUUUCAGUGGAAGCUGAGAAGGCUCACUGCCUCUACAAAAAGGGAAGGGCUUCCUAUAAGACUUUCCUUGCCUCUAUUUAUUUAAUCCCCAAAUGCAGCAUUUUUCUAUGAAAUUUCUGUUCUGACAUUUUCCUGAGAUGAAUUUUCCAUCCUGGCACAUGCUUUAAAGAAAAUGUUUGUGUAGUAUUACAGGAUUGGAAUCCUGAGUUCAGAUGUCAUGACACUAUAGUUGGCACUUUUUUACUUAUCAUAAAGUUAUACCACAGUAAUUUUUAUAAGUAAUCUGAUAGUGUGCUGCUAAGGUCCAUGGACAUCAUUUGCAUACAUAUCUCAAGAGAACGGGGUCCUAAAACCUUUAUUUAUAUUGUGUAGGCAUGCAUAUGCUGUUGGAUAUAUUUAAGAGCAUAGACAUACCAUUCCUAAAUUGCUUUCAAGGCACUUUACUGCAGCAAAUAUACUUGAGCAUAUACUAACUAAAUAAAAGGAAAAGUAAAAUAACUCUAAAUGGCAAGGAGAGAAUUACAUUUAUUACUGAAGGCUCUAUGUAGCUCACCCAGAAAUAUGGCUGGAUUUCCCACACAACAUAUCAAGACCUUCUUGAAUUAUUUUUCUUUCAAAGGACUUUGUAAUAAACAUUUGUCAUGCAUGUCAUUAAUCCUUCUAUUUAAAUUAUAAAGUUUUAAUUUGUUAUUUUCCCUAGUCAAAUAAAAAACUGGGGCAACUUGAGAAAUAAUUGGCUUUGCAUGUAGCCAAAGCUGUAUCUACUUUUGACCCCCUGUAUUUAUUUAAUGGUUCAGUUUUGUGGAAUAUUAUCUUUGCUACAGAUCUGAUAAAAAAGCAUUUCGAUAUAAAUAUUUUUAUAAUAUUUCUUUUAAGGCAGGAUAGCUCUACUAUGGUUUUCUGCCUGACACUAACAAAAGUGUCCUUCAAGUCUCAUUUCGGAAUAUAAACUUCAGAUUUCAAGGUCUUCUAUUACUGUCUGGCAGUAUAUUACACAAAUUAUUUCAUUCAGGAGAUCUUUCUAAGUAUAAAAAAUGAUUUGAAAAUAUUUUCCCCAAUAUACCUUGAAUACUAUAGCCCUGAAUAUGCAGCAAGACUGCAGAGUCCCCUACAGCUAGUCCCAGUACCUCCAGAACACUCCCACUGUUCUGGAUAUUGUACUUUCUACCUACUUAUACUGCCACCUGCAAACACCACCCGCAUUCAUAAGCAAUUUAGCAGUCAGAAUAGCUAAAGAAUUACAAAGAUAGAUAAAGAGCACUGUGCAACUGACCUAUGCAAAUCAGAGCCUUGGGGUAGCUGAAAAUUCAUCACCUAGGUAGCGCUACUCACUAAAAUAAACAAAGUGAAGCAAAACCCCACGCCCCCAACCAACCUUCCACAACCCCAGAUAAGAAGGACAAGAUGGCAGAAAGCAUCCAUGGUAAGGAAAGGGCAUCCAUAGCAAUAUUAAAAAAAAAGAAAGAAAAUGAAAGAGGCAUUGGAGACAAAUGAUAAGUUUAGAAAAAGGAAACAUGGUAUGUUUUGAUAACGUGUCUGCAUGUCACUAUCAACAGCAGAUAUUCAGGCAAUGCUGUCUUCUUGUCUCCUGGUCUUUAGUUUUUGCUUGUCACAUAAAUCAAAACCUAAUUGGAAAAAGCAUGGAUCUAAUAAGAAUCAGCACGCUUGAAAGAGCUCACCUACUAUGUUUUGCAGUAAACAGUGCCCCUGAUUUAAUAAAUGAGAAAACAGAAGUACUGCAUGGCAAAAUGCAGCACCAAUUGAUUCGUGCAAAUAAUAGAAAUACACCUUUGUUUCAUUCAGCUGCCCAUGCUGCAUUUUACAGCCCUAACCCUACUCAGGGGCAAAAAGUGAACAACAACUGUCCACCAAAAUUAAGAAUCUUAUGGCAAAAUACAGAAAUAAUUCCAUCUCCAAACACAUACAAGUCUUCUUUCAGGCCCUGAACACGAAAAAUGAAUGAAUACAUUUUGGGCUUCCUGAGACUUCACACAUCUAAAAUAAAAAACAGAAAAAAAAGGGACUGAACAAAAAUCAACAUGGCAAGUAAACUGUGGUUUACAUUCUGCAUAGGAACAGAAAAACUUUAGAAAUACACUGUAAUAAAAUCUAAAAAAAUAAUAAAUAUCCAACUGCAAAGCACAGAUUGCACAUCAUUUGUACAAUAAAAACUGUAUAGCAGCAGGGUAAACCUGGACAACCUGGACUUUCAUUUGUAUUAUGUUUGCAUCAUAAGCCAUGAUAUCUAUCCCAUUAGUAUUUUACAUUUCUCUAAACCUCCUAGCAUUUUGGGAAAAAAACUGUUGAGAGAAAAAAACAAACCAACCACCAAAACUCCUUCAAUAAAUAAUAUAUACAUUUUAAUCUCCAAAUGAUGUAUCUGGACACAGGCUGGGGCUGUUAUGUCUGCUUGACAGAGAUUUAGACUUGCUUGCUGUAGCUGUAGCUGAAGAUCUACAAUUAGCAUGUGAGAUAUAGUACACUAAAUAUACUGCAAAUAUCUAGGCACAGUAUCAUUGAAGUUGAAGAGUCGCCUUGGCCAAGUUAAAUUGCUCUUGGUCUUUAUGUAACACUUUUACUGCCUUUCAACAGAAUUUUAUGCAAGUCAAUACCUUUUUAAAAAAGCUAGGCCAUGUGCUUCUGCUAUUUUUGGCUCUAAAUUCACACAGAAACAAUGUUAUGCAACUCUACAGAGGCUAGUUUAAUCUUAAAAUCAUGCAUUUGUGAUGAUUUUUCACUUUUUCCUUCCACUCGAUCUGCAGUGGGAGUUUGACUUUAAACUUUUCUGUCUACCCUUGUGAUUUUCUAGGGGGUGUUCUGCCAUAGCAUGACAGAAAUAUGAAGGAAGAUAAAGCAUGGAACCACAAAAUCACACUUUUUUCCUCCCAAAUGUCUCAUGAUUCAGAGAUACAACUAUUGCUAUUAUGACAGUCCAAACUAUGGUGUUACAUUCACAACUAGAAAUGGUGAGGAAGGCAGUUGGUUCCCUCAGACAGAUCUAUCUGUCUGUCUGUCAAUCUAUCUAUCUAUCUAUCUAUCUAUCAUCCAUCUCUACAUAUCUAUCUCUAUAUACAUAUAUACAAUAUUUAUAUUUGAAAACACAUUUUGUUGCUCUUCUCUGUUUGAUUCAAUGAGCAGCUAAUAGAAUUCUGACCCAGGGAGGAGGCAUCUCUAAUCUAACAUUCAUUGAUUAAAACAGUUUCACAAUAUUGGUAUUAGUGAAAUGACUGAAUAACUUUCCUCCUAUUAAUUUUUCUUCCUAGAACAGCAGUGUCCAAAAAUUCAUGACAAGUUUGUUGUUGGUAGGGGAACAGAUUUUCUUCAUGCUGUGUGAGAAUCACUGCUGUUUGCUGUACAAGCACAGAGAAACUGCUUUAUACAAGCAGAGCAAAACAGAUUGUGAAAUUCAGUGCUAAUUCAAAGCCAGACUAUUUGAUUAGAAAGACAAUAAUACAGAAAUCAGUACAGAUAAAUAAAGACAGUAAGAACCCUAAAAACAUACAGGUAACUAUUGGUAAUUUUCAUUCUAGUUGCACUUAACUGGUCAUAGAUCUGGGUAACAAUGAAUAAUAACAAAAACCACCUUACAUUUAGACCAGGAAUAAAAAUCUUGCAAUUAAAAAAUGCAAAAUAAGCAUCCUAUUUGAAGCCAGAAUAAUUUUAGUUUGACCUAGUGACUGAAAUUUCAGUUACAGACAUUCCUUCAUGGCAAAAUUUAUGCCAAGGACUUGAAGAAGAAAUUUUGUAUUUUCAUGAAGAAACAGAAUGUCUAUGUUUAAACACUUGUAGACUUCACUCAGGAGCUACAAUACAGGAGAGGCGAUACAUAAAAAGUUCUAAGACUUAAAUGAACACAUCAUGAACUAAAUGUAGCGUCCCUGUAAAAGGGAGUAAAGAAACUGAAGGUAUUAGGCAAAAAUCUUUUAAGUACUUCACAGAUGUUUAGGGAUGGGUGUAGAAGUUUUAGAUCCUAUAUAAUAGAAAUUAAUUCAUUUAUUGCUGGUGAGUUUUUAGUUGUACUGACAAGCACCGUUCAUGAUCUGCUCCAGGCCACAUAUGCCUCAGAGGUCUGCUGCCAGAGAACCACGGAAUGAUUUGGAUUGGAAAGGAAAGGCUCUUGGAUUGGAAAGGAAAGGAUCUUAAGUCAUCUAAUCCAACCACCCUGCCACCUUCCACUCUGAGUUGUGCAAGUGUCCCAUAGGGACACCUUCUACUAGACCAGGUUGUUCAAAGCCCCAUCCAAGUUGGUCUUGAACGCUUCCAAGGAUAGGGUAUUCACAACUUGGGCAAUCUGUAGCUACACUCCUGCUGAGAGCUUUUGUAAUGAACUGGAAAACUCUGAAAAAGGCAGCAAAGGCUGCAUAAAGCAGUGAUAAUCAGAAAUAUAGAGUGGCAUGUUGCUGUGGCUAGAGUUUGCUUUAGAGAAGCUAAGCUGCUCAUUUUCCUCCUUCAGCUGUUUCUGCUACAGUUUCUAUCAGCUGGAGCUGGACUGUUCUGGAUGAUAAGGACAGCUAAAUUACAGACAGCUGGGGUUAUUGUUUGUACUUUAUUACUGUAUCACAAACAUAAAUUUAUGAAGGGAAAAAAAUAAAAAUUGUAAACCUCUCAGUUACCUUCUACUAAUUAUUUGAAGUGUUCUAAAACUGCAAAAAUGCAUUUCUGCUAGAAGGCUGUCACAUAUUUCUGAAUUUGAACAGUCCUGCUGCCUAAAUAAACAGCACACUAGUACAUAAAGUCAGCCAAGAUGAAUGCCAUUCAGCUGUGAUAUAUUGGCUUGACAGGGAAAGACAUUUCCAUGCAGGCUGUUAAAAAUAAAAACUUCAUCAUUCCAUGUGUUUGGAAAGAGCUCUACUGACCUAUUUAAAUAAUAAAUAGUAAUGGGGUGGACAGCAAAGUCAGGUGGCACUAGGAGUAGUCAGCAAUGAUGAUACAAUAUCAGAUGCUAAAUUAUUCCGUAAGGAAAUUUACUGUCCUGUAAAAUUUUAUCUGUUCAGCUCUUUAAUAUCUAAAAAUGAAAAUAUGCUUAAGGUAAUAGAGAUUAAUGGAUUGUUAGAAUUCUGUCUAGCUGACUGGAUUUCAGAGUUACCUAGCCAUUUUUUUAAUUCAAUUUUUUUUUUCAUUAUGAAUGUCCAUGUACUAACAGGCAAAAUCUGGACUUCCAUUACACUGGAUAUCAGCAUGCAAAAUAGGAAAAGGUCUGAGUUACAUGUUUAUAGCUCCUUUUCUGCUGAAUUUCUGCUACUGAGGUCAUGGAUGAAAGCAUUAUGUAGGAGUUUUUAUACAAGUGGUAAAAUGGUAGAAUAAACUUUCAAAGUGCAUACAUCAAGAAUUGUAUAGAUAAUCUUUGUGGCAAAUAUGCCAGGUGAGACAAGAUGUCCACAGGGGUUUCUUCUGUCCCUAAUGUGUACGAGGAUAUUAAAAAUUCACAGCAUAAAGCAACUAUUAGUGAUUCCAAAAUAUGGCAUCGGAGAGUGGGGGUAGACAACAAACCUUUUUUUUUUUUAGUAGCUUAGUUGCUCAUGAACACUUAUGUCUAAUGCCAGAAUAAAGUUAGCUCACUUCAUAUGGAUCAUUUCACUUCAGAUUUCUUCUAAUAAUCAUUUGCUUAGCAGUAACUCUAGAUGUCUUUUUUAAAUUUAUCUCUAGCUAAAACACAACGAAAAGGAAACAGAAUUAAUUAGGUUUGAAAACAUACAGUUUUCUUGAAUACUCAUGCAUAUAAUAAAGAUUAUUACUAGUUAAAAAAACUUGUAAGUUUUUAUAAGUCAAUUAUCUAUAUUAGAAUAUAUUUAAUCCUGUAAUUUCACAUUCCCUUAUUAAUAGCUACAUUUUUAGAUAAUUUCUUCUUAUAGAGUGGGCACUUUCAAAUACCUAGUACUUUGUAGAUGCAAAGCUCAAGGAUUGCUAGAGAUACGGGUAUAUGCUCUUGCAAAUACAUGUAUAUAUAAACUGCAUGUAUAAAUACACCUUCUGCUUCAUUUUUCCACCACUUCUGAAGUCUUAAAAAGCACCCUUCAUCCUUCACUGUAGGGAAAGGAACUUUCUUUCCUAUAACUAUUAAGAUACUUAGCAUCUUCAGUUGCGUGUGGGAGGUUGAUGUUACAAUACUUAAGAAACUGAAGCCACUAAAUACACACAUUUAUUCAACAACACUUCAUUUUCUACAGGCAUCAUAAAGAAAAAAGCAAUUAUCCACAGGAUAAUGAACACUGUAUAACAUAACACUCAGAGCAGCAAUAAUACACACCACCAGAAUACACUUUAUAGGCAAUUACAGACUUGCCAAAUGAAUGAAACAGCUAUUCAAGUUACAGGCACACACAUGAACAUCUUUGUUUCCAGGAAGACAAAGCCAAAGAUGCUCCACUCUGGAUGAGGUACAGACCCUAGGAAGAACAGCUUGGUGAAUCUGGAACCCUUCUGAAUCAUGACCUGUAUUCCAUAAAUGGGGGGUCUUCUCUGCUUCUGAUAGAGAAAAAGCUUGUCCAGGAAUCUGCUGAGCAUCACAGCAAGCUUGAGGCUGCUCUAGUUUGGGGUCCUGGCUUUAGACUGAAGCAAAAUUAGGUAAACUGGAUGUAUGCUGUAAAUGCUAAUCCACAGGUCCAUGUGAGACCAUUCACCAUACCUAACAAUCUGGAUUUUGAUGUUAUUUAAAACAUUUCUUAAGAAAUUUAAAUUUUGUCUUUACAUAUACCUUUUCAACCACUGUCAAGCACAUUAUGUAAUAGAUUAUGGGAGACUGUAUUGAAACAUCCGAGAGGUAAAGAGUUAAUUAAAAAAGGAUAUUUAGAGGGAGGUUAUGGAGUAAUUUUAAUUUACAGGCAAACAGAUCUGCAGUUAACAGCCACAAAAAGUGCAGCAAUAAACAAUUAACAGCUACCUCUUUAACCCAUUAGCACAUUGCUAAUUUCAGAGGUGAACCCUGACACUCUGCAACAAAGAGGAGUGAGGUCAAAUAGUUAAAGAAAUGAAGAUAAAGAUCAUGCCUCUAAAAUUUGAAAGAAAAGGAUAUUGUGUGUGUGUGUUUGGGGGGGUGGUUAACAGACUAAAUAAGAGAUACCAGCUAUUUAUUUAUUUAUUUCCAUUUCCCUUGCUUGUAUUCAGUUGAAAAAACAACAACAACAACAAAAAAAAAAACAAACAAAAAACCACCAAAAC